rnacentral:rRNA from 1 species
GACGAACGCUGGCGGCGUGCUUAACACAUGCAAGUCGAACGGAAAGGCCCUGCUUUUGUGGGGUGCUCGAGUGGCGAACGGGUGAGUAACACGUGAGUAACCUGCCCCUGACUUUGGGAUAACUCCAGGAAACUCGGGCUAAUACCGGAUAGGAUCUCCUGCUGCAUGGUGGGGGUUGGAAAGUUUCGGCGGUUGGGGAUGGACUCGCUGCUUAUCCGCUUGUUGGUGGGGUAGGGGCUUACAAAGGCUUCGACGGGUAGCCGGCCUGGGAGGGUGACCGGCCACAUUGGGACUGAGAGACGGCCCAGACUGCUACGGGAGGCAGCAGUGGGGAAUAUUGCACAAUGGGCGGAAGUCUGAUGCAGCAACGUCGCGUGCGGGAUGACGGCCUUCGGGUUGUAAACCGCUGUCGCCUGUGACGAAGCGUGAGUGACGGUAAUGGGUAAAGAAGCACCGGCUAACUACGUG